GACGAACGCUGGCGGCGUGCUUAACACAUGCAAGUCGAACGGAAAGGCCCUGCUUUUGUGGGGUGCUCGAGUGGCGAACGGGUGAGUAACACGUGAGUAACCUGCCCUUGACUUUGGGAUAACUUCAGGAAACUGGGGCUAAUACCUGAUAGUAGCUCCUGCUGCAUGGGGGGGGUUGGAAAGUUUCGGCGGUUGGGGAUGGACUCGCGGCUUAUCAGCUUGUUGGUGGGGUAGUGGCUUACCAAGGCUUUGACGGGUAGCCGGCCUGAGAGGGUGACCGGCCACAUUGGGACUGAGAUACGGCCCAGACUCCUACGGGAGGCAGCAGUCGGGAAUAGUGCACAAUGGGCGGAAGCCUGAUGCAGCAACGCCGCGUGCGGGAUGACGGCCUUCGGGUUGUAAACCGCUUUCGCCUGUGACGAAGCGUGAGUGAAGGUAAUGGGUAAAGAAGCACCGGCUAAAUACGUG
rnacentral:rRNA from 1 species